UUUGGUGCUGACGCCAUUUUAGGCCUUAGCCUGCCUGCACCCAGGCGCUCAUUAAAACAGCAGGUUGCUCCACACUGCCUCGUGUUGUCUGUUGGCACACUCUCAAGAGUUUGAACGGAUACAAGAAUCUUUCAUCUGGUGCCGAAACCCGGGAGGGGCUCCGGUCUUCGUCCCCCGUGGACCUACCCCUCCGCCCCAGAAAGCAGGCCACAGCAGCCGGACAAAGGAAGCUCCUCAGCCUCCAGUUGCUUCUCUGUGCAUGCACAUCAGUCACUGAUCUCACCUACUGGGAGUGAAGAUGGAAUGAGAAGAACAGAGAAACAAUGACAGAGUCCUUACAAACACCAUGAUACAAGAAGGCAAUGGGGAUAUGUUAUCCUAAAGGAAUCCUAAAAGAAGUGAUCAAAAAGGUGAACAGAAAACCAAGUGGGAGUACUGUCACUGAGGAUGAGUUUCCAGAGAGAAUUAAUGCUGAAGAAGCUAUUGCAGACACUGCUGAGUAUGAAGAACUAAUUGGAGAAGGAAGCCGUUGUAUAGCAGAUGCAGAGCAGCAGCAAAAAUGGUAAUGAAAAUAGAAGAUAAAUUAGAAAAUUUGGAAAAACCCAAACAGAUCAGCCAUAUUGAAGGGAAAAAGAAAAACAAAACAAAGUGGGAGGGCAGAAAUGUAGAACGGUAUACACUCUUUUAACCCCAAGGAUGAAUGUAGCCAAGAACACAGUGGGGACUUAGGAGUCUCAGCACAGAGCAUUCUCUACUCCCUACUGCUCAGGCAAAGAACUCCUUCAUCAUGCAGAACCAAAACUGGUGUAGAGUCUUAAAUGACCUGGGUAUCUCUACGCAGAAGAAAGCGCUUUCCAUGUAAAAGGAUUAACUUGAACCUGGGUGCUCAAGGGACACCCUAGGCUGCUUAUCCCACUGAUUCUGAUCUGACUGUGUUAAGUAAUAAAUCAUGUGGUUACAUAUUCACAUUA
rnacentral:lncRNA from 1 species